rnacentral:rRNA from 1 species
CCUACGGGUGGCAGCAGUGGGGAAUAUUGCGCAAUGGGCGAAAGCCUGACGCAGCGACGCCGCGUGAGGGAUGACGGUCUUCGGAUCGUAAACCUCUGUCAGCAGGGAAGAACGGUCACUUUCCUAAUCAUCUCUGAAUUGACGGUACCUGCAAAGGAAGGACCGCCUAACUCCGGGCAAGGAGGUGCGGUAAUACGGAGGGUGGGGGCGUUGAUCGGAAGUACUGGGCGGAAGGGGCGCGUAGGCGGUAUGUCAAGUCAAGGGUGAAAGCCCCGCGCUCAACGUGGGAACUGCCUUUGAGACUGGCAGACUGGAGUGUGUUAGAGGAGAGUGGAAUUCCAGGUGUAGGGGUGAAAUCCGUAGAUAUC